AGUGAACGCUGGCGGUAGGCCUAACACAUGCAAGUCGAACGGCAGCACAGUAAGUGCUUGCUCUUACGGGUGGCGAGUGGCGGACGGGUGAGGAAUACAACCGAACCUACUUUUUCGUGGGGGAUAACGUAGGGAAACUUACGCUAAGACCGCAUACUAACUCCGGGUGAAAGCAAGGGAUCUUCGGACCUUGCGCGACUGAAUGAUGCGGUGCCGGAUUAGCUAGUUGGUGGGGUAACGGCCCACCAAGGCGACGAUGCGUAGCUGACCUGAGAGGAUGAUCGGCCACACUGGAACUGAGACACGGUCCAGACUCCUACGGGAGGCAGCAGUAGGGAAUCUUGCGCAAUGGGCGAAAGCCUGACGGAGCAACGCCGCGUGAGUGAUGAAGGUCUUCGGAUCGUAAAACUCUGUUAUUAGGGAAGAACAAAUGUGUAAGUAACUAUGCACGUCUUGACGGUACCUAAUCAGAAAGCCCCGGCUAACUACGUG
rnacentral:rRNA from 1 species